CGCCGUCAAGCUGGCAGCAGUUGCAGCAGUGUUCCAGCACCCGCUUCUGAUAGCAAGUCUAGCUUGCUUAAGCCUGGUGCAGUAUAUAUCCGGAACACUGCAGCAACUGGUGCCAGCUCGACGACGUCCUCCCUUCUGGCUUCCGUGAGGACCGUCGCUCCUAAGCGUCAUAUAUAUUAUAGCUAAACCUGUCGAAGCCUCCGUGGCGCAAUUGGCUAGCGCGUUCGGCUGUUAACCGAAAGUCAGACGCGCUACCGUUGCGCCACGGAGUCGAGUGAUUGUCUGUUCUUGAGUAUAGAUCACACUUAUAGAGGAUAUAUAUAUGUAGAAAACAAGCCAACACACCCAAUGACCACCAGUCAGCUUCAUGUCCAUAAUACUGUCUUUUUACAAUUUCCGGAGCUAAAUAAGUUUCCCAUAAAUUCCGUUGCAUUGGUCGCAACCACUUGGCUAAACCAAAAUCUAUCAACAUUGCAUGGCCCUCAUGAUCAAGUAAAAUAUUUGAUGCUUUCAAAUCUCUGUGUAUGAUUCCUGCAUUAUGUAAAAAAUCUAUAACAGAGUUUUUUGUAUUAGUUUCCAUAUAAUUACAAUUUUAAGUA